rnacentral:rRNA from 1 species
AUUGAACGCUGGCGGCAUGCUUUACACAUGCAAGUCGAACGGCAGCGAGGAGAAGCUUGCUUCUCUGUCGGCGAGUGGCGAACGGGUGAGUAUAGCAUCGGAACGUGCCAAGUAGUGGGGGAUAACCAAACGAAAGUUUGGCUAAUACCGCGUAAGCUCUAAGGAGGAAAGUAGGGGACCUAAAUAAGGCCUUACGCUAUUUGAUCGGCCGAUGUCGGAUUAGCUAGUUGGUGGGGUAAUGGCUCACCAAGGCAAUGAUCCGUAGCGGGUCUGAGAGGACGAUACGCCACCCUGGGACUGAGACACGGCCCAGACUCCUACGGGAGGCAGCAGUGGGGAAUUUUGGACAAUGGGGGAAAACCUGAUCCAGCCAUGCCGCGUGUAUGAAGAAGGCCUUAGGGUUGUAAAGUACUUUUGUUAGGGAAGAAAAGCUAGUUUUUAAUAAAAAGUAGUGAUGACGGUACCUAAAGAAUAAGCACCGGCUAACUACGUG